rnacentral:rRNA from 1 species
AGAGUUUGAUCAUGGCUCAGAUUGAACGCUGGCGGCAGGCCUAACACAUGCAAGUCGAACGGUAACAGGAAGCAGCUUGCUGCUUCGCUGACGAGUGGCGGACGGGUGAGUAAUGUCUGGGAAGCUGCCUGAUGGAGGGGGAUAACUACUGGAAACGGUGGCUAAUACCGCAUAAUGUCGCAAGACCAAAGAGGGGGACCUUCGGGCCUCUUGCCAUCGGAUGUGCCCAGAUGGGAUUAGCUUGUUGGUGGGGUAACGGCUCACCAAGGCGACGAUCCCUAGCUGGUCUGAGAGGAUGACCAGCCACACUGGAACUGAGACACGGUCCAGACUCCUACGGGAGGCAGCAGUGGGGAAUAUUGCACAAUGGGCGCAAGCCUGAUGCAGCCAUGCCGCGUGUAUGAAGAAGGCCUUCGGGUUGUAAAGUACUUUCAGCGGGGAGGAAGGGAGUAAAGUUAAUACCUUUGCUCAUUGACGUUACCCGCAGAAGAAGCACCGGCUAACUCCGUGCCAGCAGCCGCGGUAAUACGGAGGGUGCAAGCGUUAAUCGGAAUUACUGGGCGUAAAGCGCACGCAGGCGGUUUGUUAAGUCAGAUGUGAAAUCCCCGGGCUCAACCUGGGAACUGCAUCUGAUACUGGCAAGCUUGAGUCUCGUAGAGGGGGGUAGAAUUCCAGGUGUAACGGUGAAAUGCGUAGAGAUCUGGAGGAAUACCGGUGGCGAAGGCGGCCCCCUGGACGAAGACUGACGCUCAGGUGCGAAAGCGUGGGGAGCAAACAGGAUUAGAUACCCUGGUAGUCCACGCCGUAAACGAUGUCGACUUGGAGGUUGUGCCCUUGAGGCGUGGCUUCCGGAGCUAACGCGUUAAGUCGACCGCCUGGGGAGUACGGCCGCAAGGUUAAAACUCAAAUGAAUUGACGGGGGCCCGCACAAGCGGUGGAGCAUGUGGUUUAAUUCGAUGCAACGCGAAGAACCUUACCUGGUCUUGACAUCCACGGAAGUUUUCAGAGAUGAGAAUGUGCCUUCGGGAACCGUGAGACAGGUGCUGCAUGGCUGUCGUCAGCUCGUGUUGUGAAAUGUUGGGUUAAGUCCCGCAACGAGCGCAACCCUUAUCCUUUGUUGCCAGCGGUCCGGCCGGGAACUCAAAGGAGACUGCCAGUGAUAAACUGGAGGAAGGUGGGGAUGACGUCAAGUCAUCAUGGCCCUUACGACCAGGGCUACACACGUGCUACAAUGGCGCAUACAAAGAGAAGCGACCUCGCGAGAGCAAGCGGACCUCAUAAAGUGCGUCGUAGUCCGGAUUGGAGUCUGCAACUCGACUCCAUGAAGUCGGAAUCGCUAGUAAUCGUGGAUCAGAAUGCCACGGUGAAUACGUUCCCGGGCCUUGUACACACCGCCCGUCACACCAUGGGAGUGGGUUGCAAAAGAAGUAGGUAGCUUAACCUUCGGGAGGGCGCUUACCACUUUGUGAUUCAUGACUGGGGUGAAGUCGUAACAAGGUAACC